rnacentral:rRNA from 1 species
UACGGAGGAUGCAAGCGUUAUCCGGAAUGAUUGGGCGUAAAGCGUCCGCAGGUGGCAAUGUAAGUCUGCUGUUAAAGAGUCUAGCUCAACUAGAUAAAAGCAGUGGAAACUACAUAGCUAGAGUACAUUCGGGGCAGAGGGAAUUCCUGGUGUAGCGGUGAAAUGCGUAGAGAUCAGGAAGAACACCAGUGGCGAAGGCGCUCUGCUAGGCCGUAACUGACGCUGAGGAGCGAAAGCGUGGGGAGCGAACAGG